UACGUAGGGGGCAAGCGUUAUCCGGAUUUACUGGGUGUAAAGGGGGCGCAGACGGCGAUGCAAGCCAGGAGUGAAAGCCCGGGGCCCAACCCCGGGACUGCUCUUGGAACUGCGUGGCUGGAGUGCAGGAGGGGCAGGCGGAAUUCCUGGUGUAGCGGUGAAAUGCGUAGAUAUCAGGAGGAACACCGGUGGCGAAGGCGGCCAGCUGGACUGCAACUGACGUUGAGGCCCGAAAGCGUGGGGAGCAAACAGG
rnacentral:rRNA from 1 species